UAGGGAAUCUUCCACAAUGGGCGGCAAGCCUGAUGGAGCAACACCGCGUGAGUGAAGAAGGGUUCGGCUCGUAAAGCUCUGUUGUUAAAGAAGAACACGUAUGAGAGUAACUGUUCAUACGUUGACGGUAUUUAACCAGAAAGUCACGGACUAACUACGUGCCAC
rnacentral:rRNA from 1 species